GUUGAACAAUUUUUCCGGAUUAUCAUGCAGCAAGAACUCAAUAUUUAUUCUUGACUAACAUCACAAUCCACCCACAAUAUAAUUCUUCUACUUUAGUGAAUGAUAUUGCUGUAGUUAAAACUAGCUUUGAACCAGUACUGAGUGACGGAGUUGUUCCUAUUUGUCUACCAACUAAUUCAUCGCAUUAUUACAAAGGAAGGGCUGCCACAUACACUUACGUAAAUAAUAAGACUGAAACAGAAAGAACUAAGCAAGUACAAAAAUUUGGCAUAUUGAAAGUGGUAUCAAAUGAUGGGUUUGGAUUAAAAAAGGAAAACAAAAAAAUUGUUGCAAAAGGGGAUUUCAAUUUGAUGCUAAUCAGAUUGUUUCAGGACCUCUUGUUAUGAAAGAAAAUGGGGAUUGCACCGUUAUUGGAAUUUCAUCAAAACUCAACGUUAGUGAAACUAACUCAAACAUAAGUGAUGAAAUAGUUUCACAAGAGUUGACCAAUAUUUAGAUUGGAUAGAAGAAUCAAUUAUUAAAUUAUUAGAACAAUAAAUAUCAAAGUGAUUAUCUAAACCCA
rnacentral:lncRNA from 1 species